rnacentral:rRNA from 1 species
UACGUAGGGGGCAAGCGUUAUCCGGAUUUACUGGGUGUAAAGGGAGCGUAGACGGCAGCGCAAGUCUGGAGUGAAAUGCCGGGGCCCAACCCCGGAACUGCUCUGGAAACUGUGAAGCUGGAGUGCAGGAGAGGUAAGCGGAAUUCCUGGUGUAGCGGUGAAAUGCGUAGAGAUCAAGAGGAAUACUCAUUGCGAAGGCGACCUGCUAGAACAUAACUGACGCUGAUGCGCGAAAGCGUGGGGAGCAAACAGG